CCCCCGAUCUCCUUGCCUAACUCGCCAGAAACCCUAGCUCCAACCGUCGCGAAGUUCAGCGCCUCCCGCCGCCGCAAGCUUUGACACUUCCAGCCGCUUUCGAGUCGCCAUGCAUCGGAGUCGCUAGCCAUGCCCCCAUCCUUCACGUGGACUGGUGUCGAGCUGUCCUACACCGACAACCCCUUGUCCACGCUGUUCGCAAGACUCGGCUACACGGGUCGUCAAACUCGCCGUCCGUCAAUCAGAGCCUAUGCACACCUCUCUCCUCGCCAGCAGUUCGCGUUGCUGCUCACCCUUUUGCCAGCCACCGUGCUGUCUGUCGCCACUCGAUGCCUGUCGUCGCCUGCUGUCAUGGAUUGUUGUGUUAUGCCAGGAUUUUGGAGUUAAAGGUAAGUUCUUAGUGGAUUUUGACAAUGAGUUUUAGAUAUCUUUGAUGCCCAUUAAGUUUGAUAUCAUUUGGUUGAUGUUCAAUGCAAGUGGGGUUUGGAUUGAAGAUUAGGUCAUUCCUAGUUGUCCAGUGUUACAAGGAUUGAUUUUCGGAGGAUUUGCAGAAACAAUACUGAAAUUAUGUAUGUGAUGCAUGAUCAGACUAAUAGAGCGUUUACCGUCUCGCCUUGAUGCAUGUUAUAUUUCAGAGGACCAACGAGUCUAGUUUCAUGUUUAACGGUGUGCCUUCGGACCGCUAGACAUGCAUAAAUCAACAGGUUCACGUUCAUGUUAUUUUUCCGGUGUGCCUUCGGGCCGCUAGAAAGACGUGAAUCGACAGGUUCACGUUUAUGUUAUUUUUCCAGCGGUGUGUCUUCGAACCGCUAGACAUGCAUGGAUCGAUAGGUUCACGUUCAUGUUUCUUUUUCCAUGUUUGACGAUGUGUCAUCAAGCCACUACACAUGUGAGUCAAGGUAAGGGCAAGGAUACUCGGGCGACAGUGAUAGUGCCAUAGGAACUAGAAACGCUUCCGUAUUGAACCUUUAUGUCUUCUCAUGUUUUUUUCUAUUAUUAUUUUUUAUUUAUUUCAUGUUAAGGGGUACCCCAGAUAAAAUCAUUUGAAAUCUUGAGUUAAAGUCAAAAUAGUUUCUUUAUACACUUAAGUAGUCCAAAAUCCUAUUAUUUUAUUUUAUUUUUCCCUCAAUGUGAACAUUU